UACGAAGGGGACUAGCGUUGUUCGGAUUUACUGGGCGUAAAGCGCGCGUAGGCGGAUCGCUAAGUCAGGGGUGAAAUCCCAGGGCUCAACCCUGGAACUGCCUUUGAUACUGACGAUCUGGAGAUCGGGAGAGGUUGGUGGAAUUCCGAGUGUAGAGGUGAAAUUCGUAGAUAUUCGGAGGAACACCAGAAGCGAAGGCGGCCAGCUGGCCCGAUACUGACGCUGAGGCGCGAAAGCGUGGGGAGCAAACAGG
rnacentral:rRNA from 1 species